rnacentral:rRNA from 1 species
CCUACGGGUGACAGCAGUGAGGAAUAUUGGUCAAUGGGCGAGAGCCUGAACCAGCCAAGUCGCGUGAGGGAAGACGGUCCUAUGGAUUGUAAACCUCUUUUGCCGGGGAGCAAAAAGCGGUACGUGUACCGUAUCGAGAGUACCCGAAGAAAAAGCAUCGGCGAACUCCGUUCCAGCAGCCGCGGUAAUACGGAGGAUGCGAGCGUUAUCCGGAUUUAUGGGGUUUAAAGGGUGCGCAGACGGGGAGUUAAGUCAGAGGUAAAAUUUCGGGGCUCAACCCCGGACCUGCAUUUGAAACUGGUGGUCUUGAGUAUCGGAGAGGCAGGCGGAAUUCCUAGUGUAGCGGUGAAAUGCGUAGAUAUUAGGAGGAACACCAGUGGCGAAGGCGGCCUGCUGGACGACCACUGACGGUGAGGCGCGAAAGCGUGGGGAGCAAACAGGAUUAGAUACCCUGGUAGUC